rnacentral:lncRNA from 10 species
CCCAAAGUCCAUUAUCAUUCUUAUGCCUUUGCAUCCUCAUAGCUUAGCUCCCACUUAUAAGUGAGAACACAUGACAUUUGGUUUUCCUUUCCUGAGUUAUUUCACUUAGAAUAAUGGUCUCAAGCUCCAUCCAGGUUGCUGCAAAUGCCAUUAUUUCAUUCUUUUUUAUGGCAGAGUAAUAUUCCAUGGUGUGUGUGUGUUUAUAUAUAGGUAUCUCACAUUUUCUUUAUCCACUCAUUGGUUGAUGGAUAUCUACUAUCUUUAACAGAUGGUUCCAAGGUCAUUGCAAAAGAAGAUGCAAAGAGGAUGGAAAAUUGAAGGUUCCUAUGCCUCAGAAGGCCAUGAGGAAGGACUCUGGAAGAUGUCUGAAUACUAGAAACCCCGAGAGCCAGAAGAAUGCAUUCGUCUGUGGUUCAAGCUAAGUAUGGGUAGUGCCAAGAUGGUUUCUGAUUUGGUCUCCACCACAUACAGUGAUUCCAAAGGGGGGUAAGACAUCCUUCCUCCUGCCCCAGUGUCAGCCCUUUGCAGUCUAUCUCGGUCUGCUUUUCAAGUACCCCUAAUAUCUUGGCACUUCCUCAUGGUGAAAAGUCUCCUUCCUCCCCUUCCUGAACCCAUCCAUGUGCCCAAUGCCCAAAGGACAUUUGGAGGGAUGCACUUAAAAUCAAAUUCGUCCACUGUCUAUUUGUUGAGAUAAGGUGUGGUGACAACAGCAGUCCAAGGGGACUACUAGCAGCCUCAGAAUCCAGCCACCCAGCCCUAGCCUUGUCAGGGCCACUCCUGGGCUGGGCACACUUGUAGGUGGGGAGGGAAGGGCAGCAUUGUCAGAGAAGACAGACCAAGCUGCAGCUGCCCUACUGGGAGGCUGGGAGGCCUGAAUAGCUUCACAGCGCUGGGCCCUGCUUGCUGAAUGGGGGCUUGGCUCCUCCCUGGCGGUGGUCCGGAAUGGAUGACAUUUUCAUUGCAAGCUAACAAGGGGAGAAAUCCAAUUACUUCACAAAGAGGCUCCUGAAGGGGCCUCACAGCCUGGAGAAAGAAGGGGAGGAGAAGAGGGGGAGAGGGAAGGAAGAAGGGGAGUGUGUGUGUGUGUGUGUGUGUGUGUGUGUGUGUGUGUGUGUGUGUGUGUGUGUGUGUAGGGAGGCUCCCACCCAGACCAGGAAAGGAACAAAGCCCUCAGGCCUCCAGGACAUGGCCUCCUGCAUACAGGCAGGGAGAUUGGAACUGGGGGGCUUUUAAUUGAUUUCCAGUGGGUCAGAGGGUCUGCCUGGAAACUCCAGGUCCCUGAGAGCUCCAGGCAAUCAGGCUUCCUCCCUGUGGAACAACCUGAGUGGUGCAGAAGAGGCCCCAGCCCUAUUUCUCUGCCCCAUCAGACUACAGUUUCCCUGACCUGAGUCAUCAAAGGCCCAUUAUACACUUUUUUACCUUUGUUGCAUCCACCUAAACUAUUAAUCCCUUUUUGAAACAUUUAUUUAAAGUGUAUUAUUUAAGCUCAGUAUUUUGGAAGUUUAUAUCCUAACUGCAAAUAGAAAAAGUAGAAGCUAAUUCUAAAUAGAAAUACAAUUCAAAUAGCCCAAUGUUGUUGAACCUCAGGGAGCUGAAAGCCUUGGGCUCUCUGGGGUGGAGGGUGGGAGUGAUGGGAUGGUGGGGUUAGCAAAUGUUUGCAAUCCAGAUUUCUCCCAGGUCUAAUCCAGGAGGAAGAAGAGGAUUGAAAAGGGAACACCUCCCUCCCGCAGCGGUUCAAAAGCUGCUCCAGUAACUGAGGCAAGGGGAUGAAGAGCUCUGAAGGGAGAGGCUUGAAUCACAUACUCAUCCCUGUGGUCUGGAGGGCACUGUGACUGGUAACUGAAGAAGAACCACAUGGAAUUGGGGAGGAGCAGUUCUCCAAAGGAAGAUAUGCUCAACAAUUUAGAGAAAAGCAUGAACAUAAUGAGGAAAUAAAUUGAAGAUAAGAAGACUCAAACAGAACUCCUAAGGGAGGAAAAAUACAGUGUUUAAAAUGAAAAUGUUACCAGAUAGGAUGAAAAGCUAAUUAGAUACUGCAAAAGAAAAGAUCAGUGAACUUGAAGACACACCUUAGAAACGAUCUCAAACGAAGCACAGAGAGGAAAAAAAGAGUGAGAUAAAAACCAAUAUCACUGAUCUAUGGGACAAUGUCAAGCAGUCCGACAGACAUAACACUGGAGUCGCAAAAGGGGAUGUGGGGGCAGAAAAAACAUUUUGAAAAAAUAAUGGGCAAACAUUUUCCAAAUUUGAUGACAGCUAUAAAUCCAGAUCAAAGAAGCUCAAGGAACCCCAAGCAUGAUAAAUAAAAAUAAAAUCACACCAGGGAGCAUUACAUUUAAAUUGCUGAAAGCCAGUGAUAAAGAUAAAAUCUUAAAAGCAGUCAGAGGAAAAUUAAGAAAAGACAUUAUGUACCUAGGAACAAAGAUAACAAUGACAGCAGACUACUCAUCAGAAACUAUGCAAGCUGGAAGACAAUGAAACAUCUUUAAAUGCUGAAAGAAGAAAACCCCAAAAACCUAUUAACCUAGAAUUAUGUUCACAGUGAAAGUACCUUUCAAAAAUUAAGAUGAAAUAAAAUUUUUUUAAAAAUGCAAGCUAAAGUAGUAGAAUUUGUUGCCAGCAGACUUGCUCUAUAAGAAACAUUAAAGGAAAUUCUUUAGGAGAAGGAAAAUGGUAUCAGGUAGAAACUUGGAUCUACAGAAAGGAGUGAAGAAAGCAGGAAAUGACAGAGAUGUGGGUAAAUAUAAAAUAUGUUGAUUGUGUAAAGCAAAAGUAAUAAUGAUAUAUUUGGCAGUUUAUAAUACAUGUAGAAAGUGUAUGAUGACAACAGCACAAAGGAUAAGAGGGAAAAAUGGAAGUAUGUUGUAAGGUUCUUAAGGUAUACAUGAAGUAUAUAAUAUAUUAUUAUAAUCUUAUUUGAUGAUAGACUGUGAUAAGUUAAGCAAGUAUAUUGUAAGCCCUAGAGCAACACUAAGAGAGUAAUGAAGAGGCAUAGCGACUAAGCCAAUAAUAGAGAUAAAAUGAAAUCUUGAUGUUUCCUUCUGUGUGUAGGGACCCCAUUGGUAUAACACACCUGGCUUCUCCCUGCUCUCUCUUUCAUUCUGCUCCAGCGAAUAUUGAGUGACUUAUCUGAUUGGUGAGUUUGGCAGUAGCAGUCCAGGCUACUGGGUAGCUCACCCCAUCCUUGGGUACAAGCUACCUGAAACGUAAACACAUUUCUGCUCUGCCCUUGUGAGCAGGAGAGGCUAGUGAUGGUCCAGUGUUGCUUAUGACCUAUGGGCAUGUCUGACUAAUUCUAGGUUUCCAUGUUUAACAGUCUGCUUGCCUGCAGCCAUGAGCCAUGUUCUUCAAAGUCAGCCUCAUUGGUAGCAAAUGUGAUACUUGGUCUCUAUCUGCCUUGCUUCUUUGUCUAAUUUCUUAAUUGGUUUAGAAAUCAGUAUUUAUGGAGAUACUUCCCCCACUACAAUGGCUGGCUUGACUGCCAGCUCCUGGAUAGGAAAAGGAUACUGGACUCCUCUCCUACCUGCCAUAUGUGAUUGACCAUGGGAGCUUGAGCAUGGGGUCCUGGAAGGGGAAGGGAUCGAUGGUAAGACAAGGUAAAGAGAAAUAUUAAUGCACAGGUGCCCUGUGAAGUGUGCUGGACCUCUGGGCUCAGAAAGGACCAAGGGAGCCUCAGGCGAGCCCAGUGGGGAGGGACAGCCUCAGCUUUCCUCCUCUUACUCCCCUGCUCAGAUUCUACAAUAUCUCUGCCCCACUCAGCCAGGCAAGUUAUGGCAAUGGCACAAGCUGGGGGAAGAAGAUCUGGAUUCCUUGCCUAGCUGGGCCACUAAUUUUCUAUGUAAGCCUAACUGAGUUAUGCUCCUCCCCACUCCCACCUCCGCAUUCUGGCCUCAGUUUCGCCAUCUAGAACAAAGAAAUUGUGCUAAAUAAUAUCUUGUAGUGGUUCCUUCUGGCCUUUACGGUUUCCUUAUCUAGAUCAGAGACUCCAGCCUAGGGCUACUUACAGACUUACUUUGUUUGGCCCACGCUGUGUUCUUUUUUU